CUAGCCGUAAACGAUGGAUACUAGGUGUAUGAGGUAUCGACCCCUCAUGUGCCGAAGCUAACGCAUUAAGUAUCCCGCCUGGGGAGUACGGCCGCAAGGUUGAAACUCAAAGGAAUUGACGGGGGCCCGCACAAGCGGUGGAGCAUGUGGUUUAAUACGUCACUAACCGUAGAACCUUACCCAGGUUUGACAUCCUGUGUAAGUCCAUGAAAGUGGUACCCUAUUAGUUUACUAAUACACAGAGACAGGUGU
rnacentral:rRNA from 1 species